CCUACGGGUGGCAGCAGUGAGGAAUAUUGGUCAAUGGGCGAAAGCCUGAAGCAGCAAAGUCGCGUGAGGGAUGAAGGUUCUAUGAAUCGUAAACCUCUUUUAUAAGGGAAUAAAGUGCGGGACGUGUCCCGUUUUGUAUGUACCUUAUCACUAAAGAUCGGCUAACUCCGUGCCAGCAGCAGAGGUAAUACGGAGGAUCCGAGCGUUAUCCGGAUUUAUUGGGUUUAAAGGGUGCGUAGGCGGUCUUUUAAGUCAGCGGUGAAAGUCUGUGGCUCAACCAUAGAAUUGCCGUUGAAACUGGUAGGCUUGAGUGUGUUAGAGGUAGGUGGAAUGCGUGGUGUAGCGGUGAAAUGCUUAGAUAUCACGAAGAACACCGAUUGCGAAGGCAGCCUGCCAGGCCAUGACUGACGCUGAUGCACGAAAGCGUGGGGAGCAAACAGGAUUAGAUACCCGGGUAGUC
rnacentral:rRNA from 1 species